CCUACGGGGGGCAGCAGUGGGGAAUAUUGCACAAUGGGGGAAACCCUGAUGCAGCAAAGCCGCGUGAGUGAUGACGGCCUUCGGGUUGUAAAGCUCUGUCUUCAGGGACGUUAAUGACGGUACCUGAGGAGGAAGCCACGGAUAACUACGUGCCAGCAGCCGCGGUAAUACGUAGGUGGCGAGCGUUGUCCGGAUUUACUGGGCGGAAAGGGAGCGUAGGCGGGCUUUUAAGUGAGAUGUGAAAUACUCGGGCUCAACUUGAGUGCUGCAUUUGAAACUGGAAGUCUAGAGUGCAGUAGAGGAGAAUGGAAUUCCUGGUGUAGCGGUGAAAUGCGUAGAGAUUAGGAAGAACACCAAGGGCGAAGG
rnacentral:rRNA from 1 species